rnacentral:rRNA from 1 species
AUGAAAAUUGUUGGAUGGAACUGCCGGGGACUCGGGAACGGCCCAUCAGUUCGUAGCCUCCUAGAUCCGGGGAGGGAGGAGGAACCCGACAUUGUGUUCUUGGCGGAGACUAAACUGACAGAGAAGGAACUGGAGAGAUUCAGGUGGACUCUUGGUCUUGCCCACUUGGUAGUCUGGAACCCAGAGGGGAGAAGUAGAGGAGUGGCACUUUUUUGGAAGAGGGGUGUUGAUGUGACUCUACGAUCAUAUGGAAGGCGACAUGUUGAUGCAGAUGUGGUGGAGGAGGAUGGUAGGGUGUGGCGUUUAACGGGUGUCUAUGGAGAGUCGGAUGCAGAGAGGAAAGUGGAGACGUGGAGGGUAAUGAGACUGCUAGCUCAACAGCAUCAAGUUGGAAGACCGUGGCUUUGUUUGGGUGACAUCGGAUGA